CCGCCUCUUUUCCCUCAGGUUCCCGCCCGCCCGCCGGCCCGGCCCUCGGGAAGCGAUUCCCGUGAAGGGGGGCGAAACUGGGAAACUGUUCUUCCCUUUCUCAGGCUGGGAGAGCGUUGCGGGAGCAGGCAGUGGGGUGGUGCCGGGACAAGCAGGCGCAGCAGAGGAGGCUCUCCGUAGCUGGGAGCUGCAGCUCGGUUUAACCCCUGGAAGGGCUCUCGACACGGGGCUUUGAGCCUGCACGGGCUGCGGUGCCACUGGAGAUCGAGCCUGAGCCGCGGAAACCGGAGGCAAGGAAGCAGAAGGGCUGGGAAAUGAAGCGCUCUGGAGCCAGGCUCUUUCCAAACUCCCAGGGCGCAAAAUUACAAGCACUAAAGUAAUCGUCAUUAGCGAGGCGGCGUGCAUGCAGCCAAGAAAGCCAAAUGAGACGGGUGGGCACAGCGAUGGCAGCGCCGCUUUAGGAUUGCCCUGCAAUGCCUUUAAAUCCCUGUUUCCAAACUCCAGCGGAACUUUGGAUUUCGUUCUUGGAAUUGUCUGUGCUGUUACUUUUGCCCGUGGUGGCUGAUCCCCAUCUCCGGGCCACUUCAGGGAAGGGGAGAUCCUCCAGGCAUCAGGCUGCUUGCACUCAACAGCCCAUUUUUCCCACUGUUUUCCAAACAAUGAAGAGUUUUUCUUUCCAGUAA